rnacentral:rRNA from 1 species
UACGUAGGGCGCAAGCGUUGUCCGGAAUUAUUGGGCGUAAAGCGCGUGUAGGCGGCUCGAUAAGUCUGCUGUGAAAGUCCAGGGCUCAACCCUGGAAUGCCGGUGGAAACUGUCGAGCUAGAGUCCGGAAGAGGCGAGUGGAAUUCCUGGUGUAGCGGUGAAAUGCGCAGAUAUCAGGAGGAACACCAAUGGCGAAGGCAGCUCGCUGGGACGGUACUGACGCUGAGACGCGAAAGCGUGGGGAGCAAACAGG